CAGACCAGCACCUCUGUCUCUCUCUCUCUUUAGCGUUUCUCUCUACCUCUCCCUCUCUCUCUGCCUCUGCCUCUCCGUUGCUCUUCUCCCUUCCCUCUCUCACUGUCGCUCCACCAACCGUGCCUUCGCCGCUCCUCCUCACGGUCGCCGACAACUGGGGUACCAAUUGCGAGCUCUCUCUCUCUCUGUGCAGUUCGCAUAUUGACCCAAAAUCUAGAAGAUGAGUGUAGAUCUGGUCGCCUCGAAUACCCAUGGGAAUCUCGAUGAGCACAUGUACAGCUCAUGCAGUGCAAAUCCUUGUCCAAGCCUGAGCUGUGGUGUUUUCAGCACCAUUUUGGCCACUGGCUGAGUAUCAAUAGUUGAGUCACAAUUUGAAUGAAUGGAUGAUAUCAGCAAGUUCUAUAUACUCUAAUAUCAGCAAAUUUUUCAGGUGUUGAAUAAUUUAAAAAGGUAAUUUUAUUUCUCACCAAUUUUGAGUAAAAUCUGAUGACAUAAAUUGUUAAGAAACCUCAAUUGGACAGUGCAGUGUGUAAAUAGUGUUCUUUGAACUAUGUUGGUAAAAGAUAUUAAUCCAAACAGAGCUCUGUUGCCUAUUUUGUUGCACCAAUUUUAUGAUUAUAUCGUAUGACAGUAAAUAUGUGAUGAUGUUAUAUUGUCCUUUGAUAUAAAUAUAACCAAUAAGAGGAUAUAUAGAUGCAUUCUUAGAAUUGUUGAAUGAUGGUCCCUGUGAAAAAAUUCAAAAUAAAAAUUACAAAUUAAUAAUCAUCUGAUGCCUAAUGUAUAGUAUAUACAGAAGGUAUUUUUUAUAGAAAUAAUUCAAUGGGUUUCAAUGUGAGAUAAUACCAUAUGAACAUUCAAACCGAUAAUCUGAAGAACUUGUUCAUUUUAUAGUUCUACCUACUUCAGAGAAAUGCAUUGGCACAGGCAGCUUAAGAUUAUUUCUUAAUGUUUUGGUGAGACAGGCUGAUGAGUCUUUUUUUGUUUGUUGUGGUUCCACUAAGCCCAAAAGUCAUCUUUUUCACUUUGGUCUUGCUUGAAUCUUGCCUAUUUUAUUUUGAGUUUAAAUGUUUAUUGUUUUGAUUUGAUUCACAAUGAAGGGGUUAUUCUUUAGUUGUAGUUAUUAUAUGUAAUUUUCAACCCUAUUUGUGACCUAGGACGAGCAAUAUCCUUCAAAAGGCUUAUACCAGAAUUGGGGAUUAAAUUUUAUUAUUGAUUGGAACUCCCAUGAUCUCAAAGGUGCCCUCUUUUCUCUUCUUUCUUCACUUCUCUUUAAUGGGUAUUUGAUAGUUUUUGUGCUGUUGUUGUUGUAUAAAAAAGUCCUAGAUGUCCAAUUGGAACUGAGAUUGAAGAACCCACUGUAAUUUCUAGGUUUUUGAUGAUGGGUUGUGGAAAUUUUGAAUUUUUUAUUUGAGUAUCAUUCAUAUUGUCUUUGUUCUGGUUUUCUACUGGAUUUACUCCUGCAGACCAGCAUCUUAUAGAUUAUGGAUCACCCCGCAAAAAUCAUACUUUUAAAGACAAAAUGAAGGAAUUUAAAAAAUAUAUAUAUUUAAUUAUGUUAUUACAUUUUGUUUGGAAGAAACAGUACAAGUAACGUGGAAAAAGGAUGGUACGAAUAUAAGGUACUUGCAUUUGCAAGAUAUAAUUCUAUACUUAUGUUGUUUUGGUACUAUAUAUAACCGUCUUUGUGCUGUUAAUGGAUCAAAAAU